rnacentral:rRNA from 1 species
KGGCUCAUUACAACAGCCGUYGUUUCKUGGAUCUCKUAUUUUACUUGGAUAACUGUGGUAAUUCUAGAGCURAUACACGCACUAAAGCUCCGMCCUUACGGGACGAGCGCAUUUAUURGAMCAAAACCAAACGGGUUUCGGCCCGUCCGUUGGUGACUCUGAAUAACUACGCCGAUCRCACGGUCUCGUACCGGCGACAUAUCUUUCAAGUGUCUGCCUUAUCAACUUUCGAUGGUAGUUUAUGUGCCUACCAUGGUUGUAACGGGUAACGGAGAAUAAGGKUUCGACUCCGGAGAGGGAGCCUGAGAAACGGCUACCACAUCCAAGGAAGGCAGCAGGCGCGCAAAUUACCCACUCUCGGCACGAGGAGGUAGUGACGAAAAAUAACGAGACGGAUCUCUUUGAGGCCCGUUAUCGGAAUGAGAACAAUUCAAAUCCUUUAACGAGGAUCUAGCGGAGGGCAAGUCUGGUGCCAGCAGCCGCGGUAAUUCCAGCUCCGCAGGUGUAUAUCUAUGCUGCUGCGGUUAAAAAGCUCGUAGUUGGAUCUGCGUGCUCGGAACCGGUUGGCUCAUUGAGUUUAAACUGGUCUCCGGCGCUUUAUCGGCUGGUUUUCCCUUGAUGCUCUUAACCGGGUGUCUUGGGUGGCUAGCACGUUUACUUUGAAAAAAUUAGAGUGCUCAAUACAGGCGCAAAGCCUUGAAUAGUGGUGCAUGGAAUAAUAGAAUAGGAUCUUGGUUCUAUUUUGUUGGUUUUCGGAACGCAAGAUAAUGAUUAAGAGGGACAGACGGGGGCAUUCGUAUUGCGACGUUAGAGGUGAAAUUCUUGGAUCGUCGCAAGACGGACGACUGCGAAAGCAUUUGCCAA